GCGGUCUAUACUGAAGCCCUCCACUCCCAUCCCUCCUCAAGAGGGUGAGGAGGUGGGAGAGAGCAGUGAGGAGCAAGAUAAUGCUCCCAAAUCAGUCCUGGGCAAAGUCAAAAUAUUUGAGAAGAUGGAUCACAAGGCCAGGUUACAGAGAAUGCAGGAGCUCCAGGAAGCACAGAAUGCAAGGUCGAAAUUGCCCAGAAGCAUCCUGAUAUCUAUGCAGUUCCAAUCAAAACGCACAAGCCAGACCCUGGCACGCCCCAGCACACGAGUCCAGACCCCCUGAGCCACAGAAAGCUCCUUCCAGACCUUAUCAGGAUACCAGAGGAAGUUAUGGCAGUGAUGCCGAGGAGGAGGAGUACCGCCAGC
rnacentral:lncRNA from 1 species